CCUACGUGUGGCAGCAGUGGGGAAUAUUGGGCAAUGGGCGCAAGCCUGACCCAGCAACGCCGCGUGAAGGAAGAAGGCUUUCGGGUUGUAAACUUCUUUUCUGAGGGACGAAGAAAGUGACGGUACCUCAGGAAUAAGCCACGGCUAACUACGUGCCAGCAGCCGCUGUAAUACGUAGGUGGCAAGCGUUAUCCGGAUUUAUUGGGUGUAAAGUGCGUGUAGGCGGGAAAGCAAGUCAGAUGUUAAAACUCAGGGCUCAACCCUGAGCCUGCAUUUGAAUAUGUUGUGCUUGAGUGCUGGAGAGGCAAUCGGAAGUCCGGGUGUAGCGGUGAAAUGCGUAGAUAUACGGAGGAACACCAGUGGCGAAGGCGGAUUGCUGGACAGUAACUGACGCUGAGGCGCGAAAGCGUGGGGAGCAAACAGGAUUAGAUACCCGAGUAGUC
rnacentral:rRNA from 1 species